CGCUGUUGUGUUCCUGCGCUGGCAGCAAAGGGUCCGGAAUGCGCGUCCUUCAAGCUUGCAGGUUUCGUGCCUGCAUGACUACUCGUGUCCACAGACGCGGUGCCACAACUGGGGUCUCGCUUGGUCGAGUCGAGCAAACCGACAUCAAGUUGUUUGCCUGCUUCCCGCGGAGCGUCCUCAGGAGGCCUACGAUCCGCUGACGGCUUCGUUGAGUCCUCUGCAGUGCUGGGCGCAGCGGGCUGCCGGGGUUUCUGUUCUCCUCGGGCCGUGUCAUGAGGCCUUUCGUCUGUUUGUUCGCUCUGCGCCGAUACUCUGUGUCCGCACACGGAUUCCUCUGUGGCGUGUACCCCCGCUUUGUCAGCUGGAGUCGGCGAUGGCGGCCGGUGAACUGUCGGAACCAGAUCACGGGCUGGCUCUUCAAAUCCUUUUGCUUGCAGGCGGUCGGCGCUUGGUGUCGACCUCGCCGGUGGUGCAGGCUGAGGCAUCGCCUCCUCUACCCUUUCGUCGCCCUCCGCCUUGGGCCGCUCACCCUGUCCUGGUCCUAUCUCUUGGUUGUCGAUGGGGCUGACAGGCAGCUGCGAUUCCUUCUCCUUCGGCACUCCUGCAGUGCCCUUGCCGUGAUCUCCUCCGCCCGGUCCGCUGUGAGUCCGGGCGGUAGCGGCAGCCGACUCGGCCCAAGCAGCAGACUCUGCUCGCUUGACACCGGACGUCCUGGGACGAGGCCUGGCCCCACCUCGAUCACGACCGUCAGAUGAUGACGUCGCCCGUCCACCGCGUCUUGUGGGCGGAUCCGGAGGCAUCUGCCAUGGUCUACGGCGCGUCCCUGAUGGACUACGGCGAUACGCUACGGAUCGAGGGGCACGUUCCGUAGGACGAUUUACGGAUCGUCUCCAUGCUGGUGGCCCAGAGGCAACCAUAGCUGCUGCCUUGACACAGGGUUGCUCGGUGGAUGAAACAACGGGGGGAUGUUGACGCACACGCUGUGGCAGGUGGGGGCCUGCUGCACUGGAGGCCGGUGAACGAGAGGGCCCGCCGACUCCUGCAUUUUCUGGGGUAUCGCGUGCCCUGGAUGUGUCUGGCUGCUGGACGCUGAUAGCACCGGCCACUGGACCUGUUGUUCGCGCGGAGCUCUCUACCGACGACGCUGGGAUGCGGCGAGGCCGGUGGUCAGAUGCUUGCUUCCUGUCGCUUCUCUGUGUAGCUUUCGUCACCACCGUUGCCCAUGGAGCCCCUCCAGACGUCUGCAGGCUCGCUGCACGACCCAAGGGUUCCCCGACCCGUGGCUGACUCGACUUACCUCGUGACCAGCGUGGACCAGCGCGAUCAGACGAUGCGAGUGCCGAAAAAUGCAAAUAGACCUCGAUCAACGGCAUGGCCUCUCGGCUUGGCUUUUGUGGAAACUCUUGGGACGCACGAGGCGGCGGGAUUGGUAUUCGAGGGGGUGCCGAAAUUGGAGGGCGCUCAGAAACUGGAGGGCGCUCAGAAACUGGAGGGCGCUCAGAAACUGGAAGGGGCUGCACCACGGGAAAUCCCGCUCCGCCUGACGACGUCACUGGGCCUCCCGGGGCGGCCUGAUCUACAGAGGCGAUUGUCUGGGUGGAUAUAUCGCGCUUUUCGGGCUGCGUCACCGACGGGCGCUCCUGUCUCUCUCGUUGUGUCUUGAACUGGCGUUCCAAAGCCGAGAGAGGCGGUCGCUGCGGGCUUUGAGGGGGCGGCGCCGCAGGUGGAUGGGCCGCCAGCGACUCCUGAGCAAGCGGCUCGCCCCACGUAAACAGGGAGACGCUGCUGGGCGUUUUUCCGUGAGAACCACCGAAGGGGCUAGCCAACCAGAGUGAAUACCUUCCUGGCGAAACAGGGUCUCCGUUUGUUUCUGCGCCACGGCGACUCUGCUGCUGUCCCUCUGUUGGCCUGCCGGCAUGAAGCGAUUGCCUCGCGGAGAGUUCAGCUCCAACCGCUUUGGGGCCAGGGAGUUUUCCAGGUGGAAGCGGAGGAGGUGAUCUGGAAGGCUUCCCCCUACGAUGGCUCGUUCUAGCGGUGACACUGUGGCGCAGUCUCGGGGGCUUAGGAUCGGCAUGCGGCCCUGGCAUUCGACCAGGCGCUCUGGGUCCACUUCCGGGGCGAUGAGCAGUUCCAGGCGCUCCGGGAGGCGGCCAGAGAGGAUGACGACGCCCCUGGCUUGGCGCGCCUGGGCGCGAGAAUGUGUGACGUUCCUCACUUGCCGGAGCCCCCUGAGAAUCUCCACGGUAUCCCUGUGAAGCGAAAGGAAACCGAGGGUUCUGUUGGGUAAAAGGCCAGUUAGGGCCUUGCCUAUAGCUUCCCUGUUGACUCGGUAGUUGUUGUGGGUCGACAGUGCGUCGAUACGUGGGGAAGGCCGCGGAGGUCCCUGGCCCGCGGGGACCCGGUGGCGUUGAAUGCACGAACGGUCCAGUGCCGGUCUGAGGCAGUCGUAGGCCGGGGUGCGUUGAGCCCGGUGCGAACAUGCCAGGAGGGGCACUGGCUGUGAUGACUCGCGCCGAGUGCUCGAGGACGCCUAACAGCUGGCGUACGGCCGAAAAGGUGCCCAUCAGUUGCAGAUAGAUAUCCUGAGGACUCCAGACGGGGCCGCCUGCGGAUUGCUGUUGAUGGCGUUCACCUAGAAGGGUAGCGGUGCCAUGAGUUGCUUGUGGCAACCGCUGCUGAGAGGGAGUGCUUUGUCGGCUGAGUCGCCACAAGCGGUGUAGGUGUCUGUUGCCCUCGGAGUCGCGAGGGUCCUCGCCUGCCAGUCGCCGUGGGGGGUUUUGCUCAUUUGGGCUCGGCUGCGUUGCUGGCCACUGACCGAUUCGCCCCCCUGUUCGUGCAGCAAUUUGUUCCUCGCGGCAAUCGACCGGAUUCGAAGCUCCACAAACUCUUACGGACCAAAGAAUACAGAAAGCAAUUCCAAAUGUAAAGGCGGAGUGAAUCACACUCGCGGAAAGCGAAGGUGCUGCCGACUGAGCUCCCGCGUUUCUGCGUGGCAUUUUUAUGGGCAAAGGCGGGAAACUCACGGUGACCUGCUCUUCCCGGCCGUAUCCGUACGGACUCUGGCAGCAAUUACGCCUCAGACCAGCUGUUCGUAUGGGGGAUGAGCGGCAAGAAGCCGAUCAAGAAAAAAGAGUUUUGUGAGUCGGCUGCGGACAUUCAGGCGUGGGGACCUCCGCCCGUGACAGGAAAAGGGGAAAGGUUCUAGAAGACAUGCAUCGUUUUGAGGCUCGCCAGAUAAGGCCCACCGAAACUGAUAUAGCGGGGUUAGCAGCUGAGCCAACACCUAGACUGUCGCCGAAUGCAGUGUUUAACUGAAAACAUACACCGAGCAUGCCUUGCCUUAACGGGCAACCGAACGGAGCAGCUGGGAAUUACCCACGGCGAUCUUCCGCGACGCUGCAGUGUUCGAGGGAAC
rnacentral:lncRNA from 1 species